UACAAGUCAUUAAUAGAUAUAGACCUCACUCUGCUUGGCAAGGUUCAGAGUGUAAAGCUUAUUAACUGUAUUUUACACCUACAGUCUUGAAGCUUUGGCAGACAGUUUACAAUGGGGAGAUCCAAAGGUAAGUAAAAUUUCUGGCAUUAGACUAGAGCGUAGUGCUUAAAGCUCAGAUCCACCAGCAAGCUGAAACAUGGUCUAUGAAGGAUAACUUUGUUGUUUUUUCUCACAAUGUCCCAUAGAGCACAUGCCAACACAUACAGAGCCAAAUUCUGCUGUCAACCAUAUCAAAGUAAAUCCAGAAGUAUUUCAAUGCAGUUCAUUGAAUUACGUCACAUUCAUGUUUAUGUUCAGAAGAAAAAUGCUCCUUCUAAAACAAGCUGGUCACAAGUUGUUAGGAAUACAGCACUCUCAAAGCCUGGAGAUGUAUCAAAAAGUUGUAUCUUGCAGAGAGCUUUAAGAGGUCCCGGAGCCUAGACUGUAGAUUAUCAAGUUGCUGUCUGUGAGGUAAAGCAGAACAAUUAUCUUCAUUCAGAAAUGUAGCCAAUCUUGGCUGUAAGAUGAUACAUCAGAGCUCAUGCCUCUUAUAUAGGAUCUGACAUGUUAGGGGUUGGCUGUGAGCAUUUGUAGACAGAUACCAACAGCCCCAGACCCAAUUUUAUUAUGCAUUAUCUUCUUAUACCAUAACAACCUGAACAUGUCCCUGAGCUCUAAAUUUUCUCUUUUCUCUGGAGAUACAUUGUUUCAACCAAGAAUGUUCUAUUUUCAUAGAAUAAAAUCAUAGAAUAACAUGAGUUUGAAGGGAAUCAUAAGGUUCACCAAGUCUAGCUCCUGGCUCCAUAAAGAACCACCCAAAAAAUCAGAUUCUAUGUCUGACAGCACUAUCCAGAUGUUUCUUGAACUCUGGCAAGCUAGGUGUUGUGACUGUUUCCCUGGGGAGGCUAUUCCAGUGCCUGACCACCCUCUUGGUGGAUAACCUUUUCCUGAUUUCUUGCAUGCUAGCUGUAAAAUGUGGAGUAGAAGAAAUGCUGUUAAAUUCAUCACCCGGAGAAAGAAAUAACCCUGUGUUUCUGGAUGGAUGAGGAUGAGGAACACUGGAUUCAGCUGAGUGUUGCUGGCUUUCCUCUCCAGAUUCAUUCUUUUUUUCUGUGCAGAUCUGGCCCAUCAGUAUUCAGGUCACCUCCAUGACUGCCAUUUCACCACUCAAGACUCCAGCCUCUGUGCUGAUCUACUGCACUCCUAGAAGUUCUUGUGUAUCCUUGCAGUAUUGGCUUCCCAUUUUCUUUUCCUCUUGACACGAGGAAGUUGUGAGGCCUACCACACUGAUUCCCUCACCCCAAGACAUCCACUAUCCACUAUCAUAUAUACAACACACACAGAAAUCUGGCCAAUUGUAACACCACGUCUUCUGAUGGUGAGGUUUAGCAGUAUACUGUCACUAUGAUUGUCAUGAAAGUUUCACACCUGCAGAGGAGGACAGCUGAGGAAUCAUAGACAGAUGAGAAGACAAGGGUGGCAGAAAGAAGCAAACUACUGCACUACUGUUCACAGACACUUUGCACUUAUUCCACUUUGUCCCAAAUACCAUUCACUGACUUGCAACAACCCAGGUGGCAAACACUGGAAUCUUUUCCCCAGGGGCAUCCAAGCCUACACUGCCUACAUAACGCACUCAUCACCAAACUGCAGGCUGGGUUGGGCUGGGGAAUGGGAGGACUCUCCAAAACACUAAUGAACUGCUCCUAAGCAGCCAAGAAUGAAAAAUUCACAAUCCACUCCAGCUGCUGAUGAGGAUUGGAGUUUGGUUCCAGCCUCAGUCCCUUAAACUUCAUCUGCAUCUGAUAUUGAAUAUUCAAGUCUAUCAUCAAACGAGUGAGCAGGAACCAGAGCCCAGGGCUCUCUCUUAGACAAGUGGCCUAUCCACCAGCCUACAGAAACAGGCAUGACACUUCCUCUCUAUUUACAUUGCUCUCUAUCCAGUAGAAAGACCUCAACAGAAAGGGCAGAGAAAGUGUAUACAAAGCAGAGAAUCUAGUUCUAAACAGAGCCAGUAAAGGCAGUUGCAUAAGUUUUCAAAGCCUAGACUUAAGAAGUCUAGGAGAUUUUCCUCCAAAAUGGAGGCAGUGAAUCACUGAGGUAACAUUUGUACUGAAUAAUCCUGGCAGACAGGCUGAGAAGAAAGGAGAUAGAAGUUUUUGCAGAAAAGGUGCUUCAGAACAGACAGCUAAUCUAACACUGUAAGCCUUGGUCUUCUUACUCUGAAGUAUGAAACAAAUCAUAAGUAAGAACCAAGCAGUAGGAAAGUAUGCAGGAUGAGCAAAUUAAUUUGUAUCUGAUUUAAUUACAAUUUGAUGUCUCAGAUCUUUUAACUAAAAGACAGACUUCAAAGUUUUUCUGAAUAAAGCUCUGUUCUGUUUGUCUACUCACUGUGAGACAGUGUAGGGCAAAGAUGAACAAGACAGAAAGAAACAUAACCAAAGCUGCCUCUCUGCUCAGACACUAUGAAUCAGGCACCCAGAAGUACCAGCAUCUCAGUCUUAGCAAACUCAAGCCUUGUGGAGCAUGUCCUACCAGACUGACAAGCACCACAGGGUUGGAGCGUGUAUCAUUGUACCUUGAACUCUUUGGCUUCCUUCAGCAGUUACCUUCUUGCAAGGGAUAACUGGAAGAGAUAUACCACAAUAUCUUAAUACUGAGGUCUUGUAUUUUUUGCAGUGCACUAACCACUGGGUUUUCACACAAGAGUAGUCACCACAGUUUCAUAUACGUUUGGGAUCCAUCUGUGACUGCUUUUGGCCCACCAGGCCUAUGCUUCAUCUCAUCACCAAAAGAACUUCCUAUCUUAUGAUUAACACAGGUCAGAUGCUAAAGCAUGAAUAACUUCGAGAAUCUAAGCUUUAAAAGUAUAACUCAUCUUCAUGAGAAGGACAACCAGAAACAACAGUUAGAAAUUAGUAAAACAAGAGAAAUGAAUUUCAUCAAGAAAAGAAAAAAGGAAUAGAUUUUACUAUCACUAUGUAAAAUAACCCAAUAUGGAUACAUUCCUUUGUAGUAUAACUCACCUUGGAGAUACUGUUCAGUUAAUCUUAUUGAAUGACUCAGUACUCCUGACCAAGCUGACAUUUUUGUCAGUUCUCAUAGUCACAGAACUACAAGCAGUACAGUAUUUACAGCUGUAUCACAUUGAGCUGGUUUCUCAGUUCUUCUCACUGACAAAUCUAUCAGCAACAAGGAAAAUUUAAAAAGAAAAGGCUGCUGUAGGAGGGGAUGUUGUUGAUAACUUCUCAUUUGAGCAAAGGUGUUGAAUUGGCCUGGAGACUACAAGAAGCAGCAUUAGGGAAACUGCUUGACUUCUUAGGACAGCAGAAGCUGCACACUUAGCUGCUUGCACUAAAGAUUCCAUGCACUAGCUUCUCACUGGGUAUCCAGUGGAUGCCACAACUUGUGUGGCUGGAAGGAAGUACCAGUGGAGCAAAAGGAAUAGGACCAUCCUUCAAGUGACAACAAUCAGUGAUAAGUAGACACAGCUCAUUCAGAUAAACACCCCCCCUUAACACUUCCCACAGAAAUACCUAAAUAAAGUUCAUAGGAACAUACAACAGACCCCCAGACUUCAUUCUACCCUAUGGGAGACAAAAUUCAAGAAAAAAACCCUCAAUAUAUUCAAGAUGAAAUAAAAUCACCUCUUAACAAUGGCACAGUUAAGUGCAGUUGUCUUGGCUGGCUAGAAGUAACCCUAUGAAUUAGAUAAGGGGACAUUUACACUGUAAAAGCCUCUAUUCAGUACAAAAGAAUGCAACAGCAAGCUUCUGUCUGAAGCCAAAAAACUUUGUGUAAAGCUUUUUUGAAUACGAAGAGUCCUGUGUUACAAAUGGGAUCUGCAGAAUGCAGUUCACAAGUGUCUUAAAUUCUUGAGGUAUCCGAAAGAUCACUCUACACAGCAGCAGUUCUACAGCAUAAAUAAGAGUCUGUACUGAACUGGGAAACCAUCAGGAUGACUCAGCGCUCAUGUCAUUCUAUACUAGAUGUGCUAUCUCCUGGAGAAGAUAAAACCUUUUCAGCAAAUCAAAUUUAGGAAUGAAAUGCAGCAGAAAAUAUCCCAGUGAUCCACGAGAAUUAAAAGUCCUGCACACUGAUUCACACAAAAAAAUGUGAUGAAGGAUGCUACUCAAAGUUUGGUGCUCAAGCAAGAAGGUGACAGUCACUGUACCUGUGGGCAAGAGAACACAUCAACGGAGCCUUCCCAAAGGUCAGCCAAAGAGAUGGAUUUUGACACAGAUUUCCAAUACUCUGCAGGAAAAUGAAUAACGGACACACGUGAGAAUACUGCAAUAUCCUUCCUGCAUUUUCCAAGUUGUACUACAAAUGAGAUAAUAGACAGAAUGUUUUAGUGUUUUUAAAUGGAAAAAGAUAAUCCAUUAUAGUGCAAACAAUUCUGGUAAGUAAUAAAAAUAUUUUUCACAGAAAUGUAAGUGAUAUUAAAGGUAUGCCACUGAAAAACAAAGAUGACAAAUUAAAACUGCAGUGUUCACACAGAGUUUUCUGUGAGCAGCUGCUUGUUUGCAUAUAGAACUGAAGAAUACAUUUGUAGGUGCAAUCCAUUAUCUUUUUAUACUUCAAGUUUUCUAAUUUUCGUGAUUAACACCAGCUAAGACUUUCCCAAAGAAGACUGGAUUUAUGGAUUAAGGUUAUAGUAGUUACAGUACAGGGCAGAAGCAAAAUCACGACUGAUAAUUUUUACAAAAUCAAUUUCUCAUGUUUCAAGUCAUUUCUCAUGUUUCUGAGAGAUUUUCAUUUAUAAACAGACACAACUAUGCUUAGAUAUAGCAUGAACUCUAUCGUGCAUGGAACACAAUCUAAAAGAAAAUCAGCUAGUGGUUUUUUAUUGUCUUUUGCUCACCACCUUCCUUGAAAAAGAAAAGUUCAGUGGCUGUCCUUACAGAACAAGACUGAUGAAUUAGAAAGUCAUCAACCUAUCUGUCCAUGUAAGGACACAAAAAAAAUGCAAAAUCUUGUUGCUUUAUGCGCAAUGCUGUUACAGUAGUUUGGCAAAACACCCCAAAGACCUCAGUCACAACAGCUGAUGCUCCUUUAAGCCAUCAAUAACCUGCCAUACGUACACUAACAAAUAACAAUAUUAGAAAUAAGAAUAUGCAUUAAGUCAGGAUUUUUACUGCCUUGUUGCAGGUGCAAAGACAGAAGUCUAGAGCUGUGAGACCAGCUGCCAGAUCUGGUGGCUGAGCUGAGAACAGACUCCAGGUGGGUGCUUUGCCACCGGAGUUGCAGGAAUCCAGCUGCAACAGCUCUGCUCUCACAGCAGAGGAAUGGGUGAGAUUUAGAAAGGCCCGUAGGUCCCUCUUUCUUCUGAUUAAUUCCAUUUAAAUACCAACAGAGGUUGGCUGUCUUUUGAAAGGUAACCACGAGAAAAAACCAGAGAGGAGUCUAUGUCAAAACUGUUUUGAAAUAUUCUUGACCUCUGAAAGUGAGACACAAAUUCAAACAGUGGUUGAAGCCACAUCUGCUUAGCAAAAAUUCAUGAAAGGAACAAGCCUUCUGUCUGAAGAAACUAUUUUUGGUUUCUGGUGACAGCUUUGACAGACUUUCUCAAAUAAGCUUGUAUCAAUUUAAAGCACACUUGGUCUCAUUCCAAGGAAACUGUGGCAAAUGUGGUGGGCUUCCUAGGAAGAGUAUGAUUAGAAAAGGUUGCAAAUGGUAUGUGAAUUUAACAACUGCUAGCAGGGUUGUCCCUCCUUAGUGUGUAUGUCUCCACAGGAUAAAGGCCUCUUGAAAAGUAUGCAAGAUAGUUUUAAUCCCAUUAGUACAACCAAGGAUGUACUGUUAUUAGAUAACAUUUUUUAGGCAUAUGGUUAGCAAGGCUGAUUAUCCGCUUCUACACAGGCAAAACACAUUCCAACAACAUAAAAUUGUGACCAAGCAGCAUGCAGUCUGGCCAAACUACAACUACUUCUAAACUACUUCUGCUAAGAUCCCACCGACAUUAAAAUUUACAAGUAACGUCAGGAAAAAUAUUCCUAAAAAUCCUAUCACCUUCUUCCUGUCACAGCAUUUUCAGUGCUUUUCAAAUGAAAUAACAUAAUGAAGAUACUACACCAGUUGAUUUUGAGGACCCAAGAAAAAAAGUCAGAGCUAUGGUCUGUACGACUUGAUUUUCUCAGGUCAUUUUAUUAUAGAAUUAAUUUCUUAUAUCCAAAUGAAAUUUAGUUCAGAAGAAAUUCUCAUAGGGCAUGUGUACUAUACACUUGUUUGCCAUAGAUUUUCCAGGUGAAUAGGUUGAAAAGGUUGUAAAUGUGUAAAAAUAAUGUAAGUAUUAACAAGCUUUAUACAUCACAUGCGUAAAAUAGGUUAAAAUUAUUCAUAUGACAAAGCUAUUUUUUUAAAAAGUAAUAAAUGGCCCUAUACAUUAACAUUUCACUUACAAGUUAACACAGUUUUUUCUUCCCACAUCUUUUAGCUGUAGAAUAGUCCUGUUUCCUUCUCUUGGGUGGAAGGAAUUCAAAGGCAAAAGAGUCUUAUGAAAAGCUCCAUGAGUCAUUAUUUGUCAAGAAAGAAGAUGCACAGGGGAAGAGCCAGAAAGGUUGAGGACAGCAAAGAUAGUCCAAUAGCUGAGUUACAUGCUUCCCAGGACAAAUGGAUUCUGUCUCUAAUUCUGCCAAAGAAUUGCCAGGUAAAACUUGCACCCAAGUACUAAGGCUCAUGUGAGAUGUUGCUGCUGACACUGAAAUGCCUAUGUCAGGCCCAAAUCUUUCCUACGUCCCCCAUUUUGCCACCAUUUUCUGUACAAAUGGGAGCCACAGGAAGCUUGGAGCAGGUGUCACACCACCAAACAUGCAGAAUGGAAAUAAUUUGUUAGGAAAAGCUGAAGAAAGGAGUCUGUCUGAAAUUCUUUCCUUUCUGGAUAAGACAGCUCCCUGAGAUGAGAAUUCAAAGGCCAGAACCAUAUUCCAUCGCUUAGUUUAUCCAGCUCUGCAUAGAUGCCAGUUCUACAGGGUAGUGCUCCUGUUCCCUGAAAUGAUGACUAGAAUACUCACUCAAAAUUCACAUACUUUAUAGUCUUUUCUCAGCUUCAAACAUAUAUUAAUUACUUAGGAGAGAAGAACAGCCUACCUCUGGAUUGAAAAAUAAGUAGAAAUUUAUAGAAUCAUAGAAUCGCUAAGGUUGGAAAAGACCCACAGGAUCAUCCAGUCCAACCAUUCGCCCUUCACCAAUGGUUCUCGCUAAACCAUAUCCCUCAACACAAUAUAACAAAUUAUAUAUAACCAAUAUAUGCCUGGCUUGUCAGUCCCAUCAAUGACAUUUCUUCCCUGCAACUCAGUUCUAACCUUCAUUUGCUUUGCUCUUUAUCUGCCACUUUCUUGGCAUUGUCUCAGUAUCUUGCUUAGUCAACUUUAGGUUCCAGGUGUCAUCUCAGUUCAUUCCCAAAUUCCAUUCAAUAAUUCAUAGGACCAGACUUCUUGGCUAGCUACCACACAGGCAUCACUACCUGCUAAAACGUCACCAGCCUCUGCUUCCAAUGCAUCUCUUAAGCUCCUUCAGAUUAGCUGUCCCUUCUCCUUUUAAAAUAUACAUCUUCCUGCUCUACCACAUCUGGGCAAAGUGAGAGGGAUUUAAAAAAGAGACCCUCUUAGUUCUCAUGAACAAACAGUUCCUAACUAUUUUGAUACACUAUGGGUAUUUUUUGGUAAUAUUUUAAAAAUUUUAGCAGCCUGAAAUUCCCUUUUUUGUGGCUUUGAAGCAUUUUUUUAGCUUAUAUAUGUAUAUUUUGAAUUGGGGGAUGUGGGAAGAGGAGAAUGUGUUAACAUCUUCCCAGAAGUUUCUUAAUCAUUCUGAGCACAGAAGUGAGUCAAAGCCAGAAACUAAUAGGAAAUGAAUACAAUUAAUGCUGCAACUUUUCUAAAAUAAACAUAUCAAAACAAUGAAAUUCAAUGCCUUCUGACAAGCUAAGUGUGUAUUUCUUUGCUUAUGUCUUUGAAUAGCAGUUAUUGUGAAGCAACCAUACAGUCAGCCUCCAAAUGAGGCAUACGGUGAUAGAAUUCAGGGAAAUGAGUACCUGGGAAAAUCCACAUUUCUCAGUAAUUACAGAGCAUCACUACAUCUGUGGUGGCUGUCUAGUUUUCUAUCAUGAACACAGAGGAAUUACAUUAUGUGGAGAAGGAAAGUGCAAUUAUUUACGCUAGGUGUAUUCAAAAUUAACACGUAAUGUGUUGUCUUGCUAUGUAUUUUUCACAACUCAAAGUUCAUGGUGGAGACCCCUUCCUUACAUAAAAUUUAAGUGAUCUACAGAAAGGAAAAAGUCGGUAAGGACAGAGUAGUGCUACACACAGCAGUAAUUUUAAGAAACAAACAUAUGCCUCCUCUGCUAUUUCACUUGCCUCAACUGCUUCCAAGUCAGGUUGAGGGAAACAGCCUGCAAGAUAGGGCCUGCCUUGUAUUGAACAGUAUUUCUAGAGGCAUGUCUUCCUAACUCUUUCAUCCUUCAAUGACCUGAAACACACUGCAAUAAAGUUUUGCUUCUGGGUAUUCAUCUCAAAUUGAGAUUCUAGCAUUAGUUUACACAUCGCAAAUGACAUUACAGGAAAUGUAAAACAUUCUGCAGUUUAAUCUUUUAAGUGUUCUCAAAAGGAAAACAGUUCAAUGGAUAUUUGUUUAACAUCUGGCAUGUUUGAUCUUCCUGAGAAAUUGUCACGUGAAACAAUCUAUUACAGAACCUUUUUAUUUUUAAUCUUACACUGAUUACCUGCUAUUGGGCACUCCUUGAAACAGAACAUUAGAUUAGAGAUCAAACAAUGUUUUACAUGUACAGAAUUUGAUUAACGAAUUAAUGCAAUUCUGUUAUUCAACAGCAAAAAGUGGACUAUUCAUAAAUGGAAGCAGAGUAGCAAAGAAAUCUCAGUCAAAUGAGAUAAAAUAAAUUUUCAGUACGAAGAUUGGAUGAAAACCAUUUUUACCUGCUUCAGUGGCACUACACUUCUAAACAGGGAACAGUUUCCAUUUUAUGACCUAUUUACAUAACACUGUUAUCUCAUAAGCUGUAUGCUUUUUACUGCACUACUGAGUAAAAAGUUACAGAAAACUCAAUUGUGACAGCACUGAAUUAUGCUUAUAAACACUGAAAUGCAGCUACACAUCAAAAGGAAGAAAAUGAAUGGUUAAACAAUCUGAAUAGUUCAGGAAACAGAUUUUUCAUCUUUGGAUUGAUUGAGUUAAUGUAGUCAUUUAAGAGAGGCAUAUGCAUAGGCACUGUGCAAACUGUUGUUAGACAGACUAUAUAACAUGAAAAUAAUUAUCAUACAUGCACACAGCAAGUAGUUCCAUGUGUUCUUGGAAGUGAUGCAUCUUCUUGUGUAGUUAGACAAACAGACAGAUUUCAGGCUAUUUGUGAGCAUUCAAAUGACCAAAUUUAUGGUUGUGACUAUUCUAAGAAAAGAUUUUCUAUUUUUACCACAAGGAAGCAUAUUCACAAGCUUUUGUGUUCUGUGGCUGAUUAUGUAAAGGUUGCUCUGAAAGUAAUGUCACCUGUUUUAUUAUGUUGAACCACAACAUCAGAGGUGGAUGUCGGUGGUAUGGCAAUAGAGGUUGAAUCUUCCCACCAAUAUUCCAUUGCAUUUUGUUGCUGCGUGACAGAUGGCAGCAGAGGGGCAGUCUGACAGAACGGCAUCUGACAUAGAAGUGCAUAUGAAGCAAAGGUGUGUCACUGAAUUCCUCUGUGUGGAAAAAACAGCACCCACUGACAUUCUUCAAUGUUUGGUGAACCUUUGUGGAGACCAAAGAGCAAAUGUGAGCACAGUGAGGUGGUGGGUAGUGCAUUUCAGCAGUGGCAACAGUGAUGUGAAAGACAAACCACAUUCUGGACAGCCAUGCACUGCAGUAACACCACAAAAUGAAAGUCUUGGUGAGCUCAUCCAUGAGAACUGGCAGAUUACAACCAGAGAACUACGUAUGAAGUUGAAUAUCAGCUUCAGUGCAUUAGAAACAACAAUGGCAACAUUGGAAUAUCACAAAGUUUGUACCAGGUUCCACAAAUGCUCACAUAGGAACAGAAAGAAGUUUGCAAGUUUGCCGGAAUCUACUGAACAAAUAUGAGGCUGAAGGUGACAGGUUCCUGUGAAAGUGAAACCAUUAACUCUGACCACUCAUCACAACUUAGUCAGCCGAUGGCUCAAACUUCCAGAGUCAGGCCAGAGAAGAAGAAAGCCUUUCUCCUGCAAUAUUAUAACACCAGGCUCCAUAUCAGUUUGAAGACCAUGGAAGACCUUGCCCAUCUUGGCUGGACUGUCCCACCACACCCAUUGCACAGUCUGGAUUUGAUGCCUUCUGAUUUCUACCUGGUAAUCAUGCUGUCAUAGCACCUGUGAAACAGUGGGUCACCUCCACUGAUGCAGAUUUUUAUGAGCAUGGCAUGCUGGCUCUUGAUCUUCGGUGGUGAAAAUACACAGUUAAUGGUGGUGACUAUGUUGAAAAACAGUAUUUUGUAGCUGAGAAUUUGCUCAGUCAAACAAUGUUAUUGUGCUCUUUGUUGUAGUUUCCAUGGAAAAAAUAGGAAGCAUUACUUUCAGAGCAACAUAGGCACAUUAAAUCAAUGCAAAAUCCAUUAAAUUUCUAGAUCAUCUUGCAAUUGCAAUAGCAAGAAUGUCAUCAAUAAAUAUUCCAAGGAAAUAAAAUAUGUAUUUUUUAAUGUAUUCACAGUCUCUUGAGGAAUUGUACUGCAUACCUGCAGCAUUGGAACUGGCACUAUAUGCAUUCCUUAGUUAUACUGGCUAUUUCACUAGAGCAUACUUGGAAAUGGCCAGCAAUUAGACUUUAGGCACAUCUCUGCACAUCAUAUGGUAUUUCCAACAACAUGGCAUUAAAAAAAAAAAACAAAAAAAAAACCCCCCCACACAAAAAAACCACCACGUUGUAUUGUGGUCCCAGUAAGGAAUCUGUUAUAACGCUUGAACUUCAUUAUACCAAGUGGUCCAGCAGCGUCUGUCAAGUGAUGGCCAGACGCUACAGCAGACUUAUUGAUUUCGUGGACUCUCCUCAUCCGUUAUUUAAUCUCCCAGUAUACACUCCCUGGACAGUAGUUGCUGCUGCUAUUUAAAUUGAGACUCUUUUGGUCUGAAAGUAGCACUUCUACCUGACAUAAAAGAAAUCCUCCCUUCUGAAUGAAUCGGUAGGAUCUGUGUUAAGUGAAAGCUUGUCUCAUCUGACAGCUUCUUACUGAAUAUCAUGCCAGUACCUCCCAGAAAAACAUAGAAAGACUCUGGCAAAGAAGUGAGACUGAGAAGAGGGUUCUUUGUUCCUUGAACUGCUGUACAGUUGGACAGUGAAGAUAUAAAGACAUCUGUAGUCACUGAAGGCUAGCAUUUCCUCUGGCAUUACUGGUUUGACAAAUGAAGGGAAAACAAACACCCUGACCAUAGGAGCAGAAUGGCAGAAUCAUUGCAAAUCCAGAAGCAGACAACACUAAUAAACAAGUGAAAGUAAGCUUUCAGUGUUAUCCAAAGCAGCAUCCGACUGAGGAUCUGGAUCAAAACCUUCUCUGGAGAUUUAUGUAGGACAAAGAGCUUUUCUGUUCUUUCUUUGGGCACCUGAUGCUAAAUCCAGAUGGCUGACUCCUGGUAUUGGACAGAGUGACUGCCCUCUCAUUUGUUGAGAAAAUAUUUUCCCUCAGCCAAACGUAAGCCAAUUUUGGUAUUAUUGAACACAGAUCUAGGGAGCAAGCAGCCACAGUACUUUUUCAACUUAUUCAUCUAAGUGAAUAAGUUAAGAAAAUAAAGCCAGGAAAUUUUCCUCUGUCUAAUCAACAGACAGGCAAGAUAGCCAAAUGGUUUUAAAAAAGAUUAAAUCUAUGCCCAUAUUAAAUAGUUAAUCUCUUUUAAAGCUUUCCCUUUCCUUUCCUCUUCCCUCUUUCCUUUCUCCUUUCCUCUCUAUAUUUUUUUCUGCAUUAAGGAUGCUGUGUUGUCUGCACUUUUUAUAUAAUGAUGACAUGGAAUGAUUAUCCUUAUCUGUAUCACUUAAGAACAAUUCUCCUUUAAUUAAGAAGAUAAGCACUAGUGUUACAUCAUCCAUUCUACGUUAAGUGGAAUCCUGUAAAGUAAUUGUAAGAAGAUAUACUUUUUAACUUUGCUCAAGACAAUGAAAAAAACAAAGACUGGAUGUAGUUCCCUCCCCCAAGUAAUGCUUAGUUUAUACAUGACCAACACUGCCUAAUCCUACAUCCCACAGACUAACAGUUAAAAGACUGAAAAGAUUAAAACCCCCAGCUAUGCAAAGCCAGAAAACUUAGGCAACUAAUGUGUAUUUGGAAGAAAAACUCUGCCUUGGCUUCAAGUAAGGGUGGCGGAAAUAUACCCUGCUUCACCAUCCUGCUCAUUCAGCCUGUGAGAGACAAAGCUGCUUCUGCAGC
ensembl:lncRNA